GCUUAGGAAGAGGCCCAGAUUUCCUGAAGCAUGUGGGUCUUUUAAAAAUAGAAUAAAAUAAAAUGAAAGGCCUGUGAUCCGGGAAGAGGUGAGGUUGGCUUGCUUUGUCAGUCAGACAUAUCUCCAAAUAUUGCAACUGAUGACAUUGUUUAAAAGAAAAAAAAACAACAACAACAACAACAACAACAAGACUGUCAAAUCUUUCCUUUCCUGUGUUUGAGUGUGUGGUGUGCAUGCACAUGUAUAUGCAUGUUUGCGUGUGUAUAGAUGCAUGCGUACAUUCUGGUACACAUGCAUAUGUGUGUACGUGUAUGACCCUGAGUUGAUAUUAGGAGUCUUCCUUGACCGCUCUCCAUUUUAUUCACUGAGGAAGGGUCUCUCAGUUGAACCCAGAGCUGACAAAGGAUUGCCUGUCUCCCCCUUCUGAGUACUGGAAUGCUAGAGUUAUAGAUGGGCCUUCAUGCCCACCCAGUAUUGACACAAGGAUUUGAAUUUCAGUCCUCAUGCUUGUAUAACAAGCCCCAAGCUAUCUCUGCAGCCUCCCAACCACCUUAUCUGCUGUCUAGUUAGAAGCAGCCCUGAGAACAUUCCUAGGAGACCAGAACAGACUGAUGGUGGCUCUCGCGGAGUUAGGGGGAUUGUAAGUCUUGUGUCUUGCCUUCUAUGUUCACAGAAACAUGGAGAUCAUGCAGUGGUGAUUAGCAGUGGGUGGCUUCCUAAGCUUCAGAGACAGCUUGAUGUGGCUGGAAGCAUAUAAAAGCUGGAUGGCAGACACUCUUGGUACCAAUCCCUAUAACGUAAUAGACAGACGUUCCUCCGCAGUUUGGAAUAUCGUUUCGACAGGGGUUGGAGAAAAUUGUCUUCAUUUGCCUUCCGACAGGAAGUGUGCUUUUCCGUCUCAGGCUGCAGCUGUGGUGUAUGGAGGCGAUUACUUCAGAGUGGAAACUGGGAGCCUCUGGCAAGAAGAGGCAGAAAUACAAACAGAGUUUAGAUAAGCAUUAAUAAUACGGGAGGAAGAUGUAAGUUCCAUGAAAUAAAAUGAGAGUAAUAACCUACACUGAGAAAACAGUAAUAAAUCUUUACCUAAAAAGACAUGGAAUUCUCAACAAAGCUGAUAGGCGUAAAGGACUUCAAUGGUGUUUGGAGUGUUUCGUGUUCUGAGCAGUGGAUACACAAGUGUGGUAUUAUUUUCUACAGCUCAUUGUUGUUUUGUUUCUGGAGGCAGGGGCUCAAACUCCUGAUCCUUCUGCCUGAGCCUCCUGAGGGCUAGGGUUACGCAUACACAUCCGGUUUCCUAUGUCCCCUCUUCCGCCUGAAAGAUUUCAUCUAAAAAAAAGAAAAUUUACAACCAAGAUUCCUACCAUUUUGCCUUUCAAGAAUCUGUUCUUUGUAACUCAAUUCGUUGCUGUGAGUGAGUGGGGUGUAGAGGAAGGAUCUGCCUUCUUCCUGCUAAGGAGAAUGUACAAGAUCUCAGGUCCCUGGGCGCACGUUGUCUUUGCAGGCCUGGCUGGGGGUGUCUUUCUUCUCUCUCCCUUGUUCUGAUCCGUGUUUGCCAGUUUCCCUUUUGCAUUUGGGAGCUCAGUUGCAUCCUACAAUUUGCUAGUGCCUGGGUGGCACUGUGCUGUGGGUGUAGGGGGCAUUCAAUGUCCCCUCGUAUAGGUCAUUGUUCCCAAGUCAACUUUGCUUUUCAAAAACACAAUAUGUUAUUAAACAAAAUCUCUCCUCUCUUCUGAAUAACACACUAGAGUUUUUUGGGUUUUUUAAAAAUGUAUAUUUAAGAAAAUAGUAUACAUACUCAGGCCACUCAAAGGCUAAUGACUUGCUAGGUUUCUGGGAUUUGAUAGGGUGGCUCCACCCCAUACCAUUUCUGCAGGCACAUAAUGGAAACAUUUUGCUCU
rnacentral:lncRNA from 1 species